AUUAUUAUGAUCAUUAUUAUAUAGCCACAUUAAUUUUGUCCCAUUUAAUACCAACACUAUUCUAAAGGUAAUCGUACAUUCAUCCCAAAAUUAUAAUUCGAAUCAACCAAAUGACUUAUUAUAGUCAUCAUAAUUAUGUCCUAUUUCACCAAUACUAUGUCUUUAAGAAAUUAAUCUUAAUAUUUUCAUGUUGCGUUUACAGUAAAAAGGUUAAAGCCGUUACGAUGCUGGCCAAACAAAAUUGCAUCAAGCUUCUGGAUUUGAACUCUGGAGAAGCUGAUUUCAUCGGUUUGCCUUCAGGGGCCAUAUCGUAGUCCUGCCAGCAUUCGACGCAUACGAUGAAUAACAUGAGGAUCAAACCCAGGAACCACAAACUCCGUCCCAUUCUUCCGCUAAGCAUCUUGAGGUGGUUGAGAUAUGAUGGAUACUAAGAACUAUCAAAGAAUAAAAUUAACUUGGUAUGCAAAUUGCAAAUUACCAUUUCAAUGUUAUUUUCAGGUUUUUUUUUCACUUUUGAGAAAUAUAGGGAAAUUCAGUUGAGGUUGUCGUCUGAAUGUCAAAAACAUCGAGCUCUAAGCGCGAAAAGCACAAUGGGCAUAUUAUUAUUAUCAGACUGUUUUUGUAUGCAUGUCAACACUAUCUAAUUGUUAUGUUUUGCUGAUCAAGUUUUUGUCUAAUAAUUAUGCUAAUCGAUCCUGUAAGGUUAACCAUUGACAUGUAUGUUCACUGCACAACAACUUUCUGCAACGUUAAAACGUUUAAAAAUCCUAUAAAUUAUGCCGGGUUUUCUACUGAAUUGCGUUAGACGGGCGAAUAUAAUACGAAAUAGGUGAAACUCGUGGGAAUUCGUAAAUUAUAAAUCGCUUUUUUACCCAAACGGCUGGUGGGACGUAGCAACCGUAACUACGGCACAGAGUAAUUACAUACAGAGGUCUCACUUCAGGUUAAUUAGCCUUUCUCACGAUGACGAAUAUCCGCCAUUUUUGGGUGGCAUCUAAUUCUCGUUUACCAAUGCAGACAAUUAAAACAAUGUGAACAGCAAUUUUUCAAAAUAAACUAACCAUUUACAAAGCAAAUUUACCAUCAUUCGUCAAAAAAAUUAUAAAAAGUCGCUGUUAUGUGGACUUAUCUCGCAGACUUCGGCUGAAAUGCCACCCAAAAAUGGCGGCGUGAGAAAAGCUAAUUUAGCAUAAGGGAUUUUCCCAGUCGGCCAUGUUCGUAGCAAGUGCCCUAAUGAGACGCCGACACCCNNNNNNNNNNNNNNNNNNNNNNNNNNNCCCCGAAAACAUAUUGAAAUUUAGUGUUCCAAGGGGUGAAUUCUUCUCUUUGGGGCACUUACUAAAGUCGAUCUUUCUCAUCAGCCAAAAUACAACAUUUUUGAAAAUACGCGGAGUGAUUUUAACUAGAGAAUACUUAUGAUUUAUAUGUGGUUUACAGGUAUAAACUGGCCGUUGAGAAAGAUCGUGAGUCUAUUUUUACGACCAUAUGAAAACCAGGCAUUCCAGGUUUAAGAGCAUGCAUGGCAGGAAUAUAUGCCCAGUAAAAACUACCUUACGUUUUUUUCGCAGAAAUGAGACCUACACCGGCGUGUCGGAAGUAUCAAUUAUAUAUUAUAUGCAAAUCCAAUUCCAUCGUGCUUUUCGCGCUGAGAGGCCGAGGUUUUGGGGUUUUCACUUUAUGAAAGGACAAUCUUAAUUGAAUUAGCUGUAUAAUAUUUGGUUAAUUGGUUAAUUGGUUUCAUGUUUCGUAUCUGAAUAUCAUUCAACUGAAGAGUGAGAAUCCAUCUCUCAAAAGUUUAAAUAAACAUUGAUUAAUAAUGGGCAAUUUGCAUACCAAGCCAGUCAGGGUUAGCCUAACCCUAACCCUUCCCUCGUUUAUGUGGUAUGGGACUGCCCGCAGGCUAGUCAGGGUCUACUGUACAGAUCCAAUUAUACAAGAGCUGAAAGGUUUGUGAGUUUCGGCAGCCUGGUGGGAUAACGCCACCUGAAUUUACAUUUUACAACAAAUCCCCCAUUUCAACAUAAAUUUGGCUGCUUGUCUUUGCCUUUUUGGGGUUAAAAUUUCAAACAGAUUGUCUUUUCUUCCGUAGCUUGUUUCGAGUUAACAUCCAGCCUCCAGAUGUCAUCGAUUCGAGAAAUAAUUCAAGGUCGACUGUUGACAAUAAUACAUGUAUAUUUAAAUGUGUAUUAGUUUACAUUUAAAAAUGUUCGAUUGAGUUCAAUAGACCUUUCUUAUAUUGACGUUAAACGCGGGACCGAAAGGGUAUAUGAAUGGGGAGCCUUUUCUUUUUUUCAUGGGUGCCAAAACGCGACAUUCCAUAGCGCACGUGUCUUAAAAUCCGUCAUGAGUCUGAGCUAGUGGAAAAACUGGAAAAUCCACCAUUAGUCCCCUUACAGAAUCGAUAGGCACACAGACGAACCUGUAUUAAGCGGUCACUUGGUGCCCGCUUAAUACUAGGUUUAAUACAGUUACACAACAAUGAAAAAAUAUGUUUGGGGUUGUGCGUCGACUCAACAGAGGUAUUAAAGCGGUUUAACAAAGGUCACUUCAAUAGCAUUUACAUUAUGAAAUUUUCGGGACUUUGCCAAAUGAUCGCUUAAAAGAAAGGGUGACCGCUUAAUACAAGUUCAACUGUAUAUAUGAAAGCAUGCAUAACAAACAUUACCUGUGGAAAUAUGCCAAUUACACAAACAGACAAACAGUCUUCUUUGGACAAAAACGCCAACUGAUCUUCUUAGAGACUUGUAAGGCUAUAUAUCACAGCAUGCAUUCAUGUACCAGCCAAUGAUUUCACGCAAAUGAGGUAAUUAAGUUCAUGUGCUAGGUGAUAUGA
rnacentral:lncRNA from 1 species